GCAAAAGCAUUGAUUCUGCCUUA
rnacentral:siRNA from 1 species